UAGGGAAUCUUCGGCAAUGGACGAAAGUCUGACCGAGCACCGCCGCGUGAGUGAAGAAGGUUUUCGGAUCGUAAAACUCUGUUGUUAGAGAAGAACAAGGACGUUAGUAACUGAACGUCCCCUGACGGUAUCUAACCAGAAAGCCACGGCUAACUACGUGCCAGCAGCCGCGGUAAUACGUAGGUGGCAAGCGUUGUCCGGAUUUAUUGGGCGUAAAGCGAGCGCAGGCGGUUUCUUAAGUCUGAUGUGAAAGCCCCCGGCUCAACCGGGGAGGGUCAUUGGAAACUGGGAGACUUGAGUGCAGAAGAGGAGAGUGGAAUUCCAUGUGUAGCGGUGAAAUGCGUAGAUAUAUGGAGGAACACCAGUGGCGAAGGCGGCUCUCUGGUCUGUAACUGACGCUAAGGCUCGAAAGCGUGGGGAGCAAACAGG
rnacentral:rRNA from 1 species